rnacentral:rRNA from 1 species
UCGGGAAUUUUGGGCAAUGGGGGAAACCCUGACCCAGCAACGCCGCGUGAAGGAUGAAGUAUUUCGGUAUGUAAACUUCGAAAGAAUAGGAAGAAUAAAUGACGGUACUAUUUAUAAGGUCCGGCUAACUACGUGCCAGCAGCCGCGGUAAUACGUAGGGACCAAGCGUUGUUCGGAUUUACUGGGCGUAAAGGGCGCGUAGGCGGCAUGACAAGUCACUUGUGAAAUCUCUGGGCUUAACCCAGAACGGCCAAGUGAUACUGUCGCGCUAGAGUGCAGAAGGGGCAAUCGGAAUUCUUGGUGUAGCGGUGAAAUGCGUAGAUAUCAAGAGGAACACCUGAGGUGAAGACGGGUUGCUGGGCUGACACUGACGCUGAGGCGCGAAAGCCAGGGGAGCAAACGGGAUUAGAUACCCGCGUAGUCCCUG